rnacentral:rRNA from 1 species
UACGUAGGGUGCAAGCGUUGUCCGGAAUUAUUGGGCGUAAAGAGCUCGUAGGCGGUCUGUCGCGUCUGCUGUGAAAACUCAGGGCUUAACCCUGAGCUUGCAGUGGGUACGGGCAGACUAGAGUGCGGUAGGGGAGACUGGAAUUCCUGGUGUAGCGGUGAAAUGCGCAGAUAUCAGGAGGAACACCGGUGGCGAAGGCGGGUCUCUGGGCCGUAACUGACGCUGAGACGCGAAAGCGUGGGGAGCAAACAGG